GUCUACUUUAAUGGUAAAUGGAAGACCGUUUUUGAAUCCUCAAAUAAAUGGGAAAACUUCAUGAAGGUUUCAGGUGAGGUCAUAGAAGUGCCAACUCUCUACAGCUCCAAGUACAACCUUCAAAUGGGCUACAACAAAAAAUUACAGGCUGAGGUCGGAAAGUUCCCUCUUACGGG